CGUGUAGGCGGUCCGGUAAGUCCGCUGUGAAAGUCCAGGGCUCAACCCUGGGAUGCCGGUGGAUACUGUCGGGCUAGAGUACGGAAGAGGCGAGUGGAAUUCCCGGUGUAGCGGUGAAAUGCGCAGAUAUCGGGAGGAACACCAAUUGCGAAGGCAGCUCGCUGGGACGUCACUGACGCUGAGACGCGAAAGCGUGGGGAGCAAACA
rnacentral:rRNA from 1 species